rnacentral:lncRNA from 1 species
GAGGUGUUUGAAAGAAAUCCAGUUCCUUAAUAAGUGCACAGUUUGUUAUUUGGUGGAAACUCACUUCCAGUCGACACGUGAAGUUGAUAGUUGAGAGUUGUUAGAUGAACAAGUAUAAUCCAUGAUACCUAAUUCAACAGUAACAUCACAUCACAACAUAUUACAAAGAACUAAAUUAUAAAAUCCUGGUUUCAUACUUCUGAGUUACUCUUCUAGUGGUACUAGCACUGACUUAGAAACUGCCAAAAACAGUUAUUAGUUUAUAUGCACAACCAAUUCACAGUUCAAUUAGUUUAGAAACUGCCAAAAACAAUUAUUCACAAUACACAUAUAUGAAUAUGUUUGCCUGCAACACUAUUGUUGAAAGGGAAAAUUACUUUCUCAGUAGCAAAGAAAAGUAGAAACGACUCACUGUCUACUUCAGCCAAUUCUAAAAACAGCUAAUAUACUAAUUGUUUUUCAUUAAUUUCAUCUGAAAACCACCACAGAGUGCACCAUUUGUCAAACAAUACUCACUUUAUGAUCCAAAGAGGAUAAAUUUCUUAGCGCAACAAAAUACAUAGUCACCAAUACAUGGAAGGAUGAAAACAUACUGCCAAAUACUUGAUAGUCAGUAGUAGUGUAUGCUUGUAGGUAAAUAACCUAAACUAAAAUCAUGGGUUAAAUAAGUAAUGAGUGAGCAAGGUAGAAUGAUCAUGACAAUAACAGUUUAUAAAAAAUAAAACACCAGUCACAAUUCAUAAAUGAUCAUGACAUAGCAGUUUCCUCAAUUGAGAGCCUAAAAUUCUCUCUCCAAUUUCAUUAAUAGAAUCUGACUACAAUGCCAAAAUAUACUACCAUUGCAUCUCUAGUUUCUUCAGAUCCAAUAGAAUAUAAGUAAUGAAGGCAAUGUGACUACACAUUUUUAACUCUAUUCUAGUCAUGUAAAAUCAUAGGCUGAUGCUCUUAACUCGUUUGUAAGGUGUACUACCUGAAAUACAAUGGUCCUUAAUUUAUCAAACAAUGAACACAAUCCCUCUUUCAAAAAGUAUAAUAAAAUAACUUCUAUUUUUAGAAAGACUAAAGGUGAAAAGAAAUAAAAUGAUACUACUCUAAGGAAAAUUAAAAAUCAAAAAAGAUAACAGAAAUGUUCAGUGAGUAUAUGAAACAAAAUUAGGUCAAUCAUCAUUAACAACCUCAUGAUAAACAACAUAAUGUGAUUGAAUGUAUAUAUUAAGUAAGAAACAGCAAGCAGGCAUUUCAACUUAAUUUUGGAGGAUACUCUCCUACUUGUCUAAAGAGCUCCACAUACUGCAAUGAUUUUCCAAAUACCCUGAAAAUGUGAAAAAAGAAAAUUAAUACCAUAUGAUGCCAAAUAUCUUAAUACCAUGAUGUUAUGACAGUUCAAAGACCCUAAAAAGGAACUACAUAACUGAUCUUUUUGCUGAACCCACACAUUAGCAAGAUAAAGGAUUUCACUCAGUGAGAAACUUGAUUCAUGGAAUCAUCAGAAAUCUGUUGAAGCUGCACAAUUCUUCACAAACUCACUUGAAGAUUCAAAUUUA